rnacentral:lncRNA from 1 species
ACCAUUUCUUACAAAGAAAAUACAAAAAAAUCUUCCGCAUUUUCACCUUUCCACAUUUCUUACAAAGAAAAUACAAAGCAAUUUUCUGCAUUUUUCACUUUUCAACAUUUUUGCAAAGAAAAUACAAAAAAAAAUUCUUUCUUUCUCAUGACAUUCACCUUCAAAUACAUGCAUUAUGCUUUUCAUUUAAGGUGCCCACCUCUAAAUACGGGAAGGUGGCUUUUCCUUUCAAGAACAUGCCUUCUCAUAUAAGCAUUACAUUUUUCAUUCAAGGAGCCCAUCUCCAAAUAUAGGCAAUUGACUUUCCUUUUCAAAUCUCUCGCAUUCAAUCACAGACAGCUUUUUUAUUAGGUGUUGUCCUUCUAAUUUAUG